UUCUGUAGAUGCCCGCUCGGGGCUGGGCACAAUCGCCGAUUCAUAAGCCAGGCAAGGCCCCACAAUACCCAGGCUGUGUCCAAGAAGGACACCGACGGGAACUCGGAGAGGCCAGUGUCUUUGGUGGGGAAAGGCUGCUCCCUGGUGGUCCACAGGGGCAGUGCGCAUGACCAGGGCUCCCAGACUUCAGGCAAGGAUGAUGGCGGAGAGACACGGCUUAGAAGUCAUCCCACCAUAUGGACGGGGAAACUGAGGCCCAGAGACAUGCAGAGACUUGGCUCGGACUGUUUUCUUCAAUGUGAGAUAGGAUUUGAAGGGGGAAAGUGAAGGAGUUAUUUCACCUGAUGUGUUAAGUGCGGAGUGAGGUAGGUGGGAUUUAGAGGGGAAAGCGAAGAAGGAGUUAUUUCACUCAAAGUGCGGAGUGACGAAGAUGAAGGAACACGAGGUAGCCGGGCAGUGGGUGCUGAGUUGGCUGACACUGGCUUCCUUCCAGAGCGCAGGGGUGCAUCCUUCCGAACCUCGCAUUCAGUGACGUCACCUUGGUGAUUUGAAGUAGGCCCUGGUGGAAGUAUUUACACCAUGGACAUCAGCAAAUGCAACCAAGACCUCCCGCUACCCUGGAGAGCUGGGUUUAAGACAUUUGCCAGCACACCACUGCCCAGGGACCAGUCUCAGCUCCAGAGCUGUGGGUUAUUGGUAAAGGAUGUGAUUUCAUUGAGCCUCAGUUUCUGUAUCUGUAAAGCAGGAAUCUAUCACUUAUGAAAUAUCCUGUGCAGGCACAAUCUUAGGUGUGGAGGAUACAAUACAACGAUGAUAUGUCAUGUCAUAAUACAUGCAAUGAUGACAAAGCCAGGUGAAAAGGCGAUGAUGGUCAUUAAGUUCAAGAUGGGGAGGGGUUGGGGUGAGGGCUGGCCUGUCUGAGGAGGGGCAUUUGCAGUGCUGGAGCAAGCCAUGGAGGACAGGAAUUGCUCCAGUCAGAGGAACAGCAAGGACAAGGGGCCCAAGACGGCAUGUACUAGAGGCUCCACGCAUAGAAAAAGCCAGCCAUCCCCAGCGCUGUAACUGAGUGGCCAGUGGUGGGAGGUACUGUGUCACGCAAGGUGCUGAGUGCUUUACCUGUGGUGUCUUAUUUGACCUUCACAAGCACCCUGAGAGGAAGUUAAGGAUAUUAUCCUUUUCAGCACUGGGCUUUGUAAUAGUUAAUUUUAUGCAUCAACUUGACUGGAUCACAGUGUGCCCAGAUAUUUGAUCAAACAUUAUUCUGAGUGUUUCCGUGACAAUGUUUUUGGAUACAAUCAACAUUUAUUUAAUUGGUUGAAGACCUGAAUAGAACAAAGAGUUCAAUUCUCUCAAGUAAGAGAAUUCCUCCUGUCUGACUACUUCAGAAUUGGGACAUUGGCUUUUUCCUGCCUCUACACUACAACUACACCAUCAAGCCUUCAGACAUGGAAAGGAACCACACUAUUGGCUCUCCUCGGUCUUCAGCUUGCCAACUCAAUGCAGAUCUUUGCAUUUGUCAGCCUUAUAACCAUGUGAGCUAAUUCCCUAAAAUAAAUGUCCUCAUUUAAAUG
rnacentral:lncRNA from 1 species